GGAGCUGUAGCUCAAUGGCAGAGCGAUCGUCUUAUACACGAUUGACGAAGGCUCGAUUCCUUCCAGCUCCA
rnacentral:tRNA from 1 species